UCACUCAUCAUUGUAGGCCUUGC
rnacentral:piRNA from 1 species